UACGAAGGGGGCUAGCGUUGCUCGGAAUCACUGGGCGUAAAGCGCACGUAGGCGGAUUGCUAAGUCAGGGGUGAAAUCCUGGAGCUCAACUCCAGAACUGCCUUUGAUACUGAGAUCUUGAGUUCGGGAGAGGUGAGUGGAACUGCGAGUGUAGAGGUGAAAUUCGUAGAUAUUCGCAAGAACACCAGUGGCGAAGGCGCUCACUGGCCCGAUACUGACGCUGAGGCACGAAAGC
rnacentral:rRNA from 1 species